CUCCCCAGGCCCCUGAAUCUCUCCAGUGCUCCUGACUCUCCCAGCCCUGUAACCCCCAGCCAUGCUCCGAGUCCUAUUUCCCAGUCUCAAGUGCACCUGCUCUCCAAUUCUUCCAUGCUCUGGGCCCCAGGACCUCCACUCCUUCCUGUCCCUUUCUUUCCUCAAAGGUCCAGGACCCCCAGUUUCUCUUCUGCUCCAGGCCAUUAAUAUCCUAUGCUCCAGGGUCCAUCCCCUUCCUUGCCUGCUCCCCAGAAACCACAUUACUCCAGGCCCCUUCAUUCACCCUGCCUCCUUGGCCCUCAUUAUUUCAUGUCUCCAAGCUUCCUCAGGAUGAGGAAGGAGACUUUUCUACUUCUUUGUAAUAAAUUUGCCCUGCCAUUGCAGCACAAAACCACGAAGGGGAUGGUUGAGUCAUAAAACUGAGAUCUCCAGUCGCAUCUGGAUCAGCCUGAAUAUGAACAUUGGACUAUAACCUAUGGACUAAUUUUAAAAGAACUCUUUGCAACUAUGAAGCUCACCAUCUCCACUAUGAAUCUGAUCUCAGAACUGUACUCAUGUCUGAACAUGACAUGGAGUCAGAAGUAAGCUACAAUGAGAGAAGAACAGAAACAGAAGGAAAACAGCAACAAAGGUUGCAAAAAGAAUGAACAAAGCAACAAAGAUUGCAGGGUCUCAUCAGCAUGCCACUCUUCAAUGCCCAGAGAAUUUCAGCUUUGACAAAUGGGUAGACUGGACCUAGUAUUUUGCAAGAUUUGUAAAUGCAAAUAAGUUCUACAAAAAAACCCUGGAGAUAUAUAGGUAUCAUCUUUAAUGUUUGCUAUGAGGAAGCAUGCAGAGCAUCUCUUUAAAUCCUUUGACUUUACUGAUGACACAAAGAUGACCAUGAAAGGGUUCUAGCUGCGUUUGAUGCAUACUUUAUACCUCAGAGAAAUGUGGUUUAUGAAAGAGCACAUUUUCACAUGAGCCAGGGGAAAAAUGUUUAAUGUUUUAUAAGAGCUCUGCAUACAUUGGCUGAAAACUGAUUUGGGGAAUGCAAAAAACAUGACAAUGUCAGAGACAGGAUGGUUAUAGGGUUAACAGAUAAAAAAUUUUCACAGCAGCUACAGUUGAAGACAGACUUAAUCGUAGCCAUAGCUAUACAGAAAGCAAAGCAGUUUGAACUAGUCAAACAACAGACCAAAAGGUAGGGGGAAACCUGAAAAACCUGAAACUAGCUUAGAAGCUACAAAGACACUUGACUGUUAACAUUCAUUAUCAUAAAACCUGUGCAGCAAGGAGAGAGAACUCCCAGGGCCAGAAAACAAAUUCCAGCCUGCAUGCUCAAGGUAUGGAAAAAGUCAUAUUCCAAGAGAUGCCUGUCCAGACAGAGAUGCACGGUGUAAUAAAUGCAGAAAAUAUUGACAAUUUGCAGCUGUUUGCUGUACCAAAGCAGUCAGGGAGUUGACUCGUUAUGGACAGACAGUCAAUCAAGAGUUAUUCUUACUGGGAUCUAUCACUUGUGAUGACCUAGAGCCUACCUGAAGAGUGAAACUGAAUAUUCAUGGCAAUACUAUUGACUUUAAAACUGACAUCACAGUAAUUUCAGAAGAGUCUUACAAUCACCUUCAACCCCUUUCAGAGCUGAAAACGCCUGACAAAACUUUGACUAGCCCUGGUGGUAUUCUGAAUUGCAUAGGCCACUUCACCACAGAAAGAGCUUAUGAAGACAAAAGCUUUGCAUUCAGAGUACAUGCAAAGGAUCAAAGACCAACAGCCUUCUCAGUUACAGCAUGGCAGUCAUGAUGGGUUUAAUGAAAAGGUGGAAGAACUUGACAGAGGAUUUGAUGAACUGGAGUUUUGAAAGACGACCCAGUACAAAUCAACUUAAGAGACAGUGUUGAAUCGUACAAGUACAAACACGUCUAUCAGAGGGACCUGGGAAGAGAGUAGCUGCAGAUCGAUGCAAAUUCAGAGGACAUCAUCAGAGGACCUGGUUGUAGUGGACUAUUUUUCCGGUAUAUAGAAAUCAUGUACUUGAAAGACAUAACACGUUGCAGUGUUAUUGUGAAACUGAGGUGCACUUUGAUAUUCCUGAACAACUAGUGAUGGACAAGGGACCACAUUUCACUGCAGCAGAAUUUAAUUAAUUCAAAACAAAAUAUGAUUUAUCAUGUAACAACAUGAUAAAAAUCAUUACCCACCGCUGACAUUACCCACAAGUGAAUGGAGAGGCUGAGAGAGCUGUACAGACAGCCAAGAAAAUUCUACAGCAGGAAAAUGCAUUCUUUGCUCUCCUGAGUUACAAAUCAACCCCAAUAAGGAUCCUGCACUGACCACAGCCAGUCAUUGCAACUAAUAGACAGUCAGAUGAUCAAGUUGUUGUGUGUUUGGGUUGUGUAUUUAGACAACCAGAAGGAUUCACAGACGCUGAACAGACUGAUACUUACUGAAUUUCAAAUAUAGUGUAAAUGGUAGGAAUGUAGAACUUCAAGGGGGAGAUUUAAUGGAAUGCUAAACUGUAUUAUACUGUUCAGCUAUUAGAUGGUGCUGUGUGUAAAAUUCCUUCUUUAAGCUCGCAACAGCCAUACCUGGCAGAACAUUAUGGGAUCUUAUGAUGAAUAUCUGGUGUGUAUCUCACUAAGAAGCAAGCUCUGUAGCCAAUCCAUGUCUGGUAUGGGACUAUGACAGCAUGCCAGAUUUUUGUACUGUAUACAAAUCCUAGCAGAGCCAAGUAUUUCACACACGUCUCAGAACACAAGGCACAAUGGAUUUAAUGUUUCAUUUCUCAUCUGUACAAAAGAACAAAUCCCACAAUAUUGUGUCCUGUGAAAGCAGCUUUUGUCCCAUAGAGAUGUGGCUGGGAAAUUGAUAGAACUUUGGCAUUACAAUUUCAUCCCCAAAUGCUAAUUCUCCAGUUUCUCUAAUACACCUGCCCUCCCAGUGGUUAUUACAGACUCUUGCCAGAAGAUGGAAAUAGGAAAUUGUUACCAUAUUAUUUAUUCAUCAUCAGCAUUAGUGAGCUUGGCCCUGAACAAUAAAACAAAGACACCCUUGCACUGAGGAGUUUGCAGUCUUAUGACAAAGGGACAAAUAAAGCCCUGCUAUAAGUAGGAGUAACUGAUGUCUGUGGGAAUUGUCCCCACUUACUCCAAGGCUGAAUUUGGUCCUUGCUCUCUCUACAAAAGAGGGUUGUGGUAGCUAAAUGUUUCAGUCCAUCCUGACUGACCUGAUCAGCUAAUCUUUCACAUUUUAUUCUACCUGAUUUGGAUCAUGGCUCAUUUUCUUGCUUUCUUAUUGAGCUACUUUUUCUUUUCUUGGUCUUUCCAGAGCUCAGUAUCUCCCUGAUUCUCUAAAAGCAGGGAUGGCUUUGUGAGCAAACCGCCCUGCGCUCUAGUAUCUCUGUGCUGUCUCAAACUGACCCACAGGUCAGAGCCUCAGGUUGGGAAAGGGAGGCUGUUCAGAGGCCUCUCCUCAGACUCAGUGGAUCUGCCACAGCAUGUUUGGUUAAUUAGUUCUCAGUUGGCACUUCCCUUGCCUCAUUUUAUUAGCCAAGUCCCCCUAAAAUCCAUCAAGUUUGUCAUUCCUGCUGUGGGCAGAACAGUGUGGAAAUAGAGUCUCCAGUAUCCAAACUCUGACAGUGGCCAGCAGCAGAGGAAGAUGUAAGCAAAUCUGCAGUGGGCAAUUAUGGUAUAACCUGUCCUUAGGGGGAAUGUGUCUUCCUAACCCCUAGCACUUAGUGGCUGUCUCAUGCUCUGAACCAGGAGGUUUUAUAGCCCUUUGAUUUUUGUUUUCUCCCAUUAAAUGUAACUGCAGACGUUCUCAUGAUACAUUUAAAUUACAUACCAAAAACUACCUUAAAAGAACAUUUUUUAAGUUGCAAAGUCAAGCUCUAGAAAGUUAGGGAAAGUUAGAGUUACAGUUGGCCUGCACAUCCUUAAUUCUGCCUCCUUGUGCAUAACUCCUGGGGAGUCAGGCAGGGGUCGUGCGGAAAAAAACAGAAUGUGAUCAUGUACUUAAAGUACAUGCAUAUGCACAAGGGGGGCUGAAUUGAAGUUGCACAGGCAAUCCAACAGCUGGCAUUUUGUAACUUUUUGACUGCUUGACUUGGCAGCCACAGAAGGCUGUUUAUUCCAUGGAAGGGAUGGGCUGCUAGGACCAGGAAAUGGCUGGAGGACUCUGGUCUAGCACAGCUCAUCCUAGCAGGAGGCAGGAUC